CAGAGACAGAGUCCUCCAGACCAGAGGGAAGAGGGACUGAGAGAGGGAUGUGUCCCCCAGAGACAGAGUCCUCCAGCCCAGAGGGAAGAGGGACUGAGAGAGCAGGAGAUCUAACACAACAUCCACACCAGGCAGAUGCCAGGAGCAGCCAACCACAACCUCCAGCUAUCACUCUCAUCAAGCACCAAGAGCCCCAGUCACAUCAGCAGUCUCCCGAGGCUGUCCUCGCCCUCAACGCUGCCUCCGUCAUAGCUCAUAUCAAACUCCAGAGACAACUGAGCCUGAGGAAGACAACACCACGUGACCUUUCUACACAGGCCUCAAGGUCGCCCACAACACCGGAGGGGGGAAAAGCACUGGUGAAGGAUGCUGGUGGUUGUGUGCGACCCAGGACUGAUGACAACAGACUAGACCCUGGUGAGACCACCAGAACCACACAUCACACAACCCAGAUUGAUGUUGGGUUUAUUCCCUGAAUUCUGACUCUGACCCGGAAACAAGCAAAGCCAACAUUCCAUCACCCAGGGAGGCUCUGGAGCGAUCCAGACCACACUUCAUCAGUCGCUCUCAGGGCAGACUGAGAGAGAUGGAGAGGCGGGCAGAAGAGAGGAGGGAGGAGAGGCGCUCUGACCACCAGCCAGAGGAGAUGAUGCUGAUGCACCAUAGAGGACACAGCACCAAAACCAGUCCUCUUAGUGAUAACCUUUUCCGACCCAGAGAUAGAGCCAUUGCAGGGAAGGAGAUGCAGCUCAGAACCAGGCAGAACUAUAAAAAUCUGCCGGAGGUGAGGAGGAAACAGGAGGAAGAGAAGAGGAGGGAGGACUACCUGACUAACAGGCUGAGAGCAGAUCUCUUCAAAAAGAAACUGUUAGAACAGAUCCUUCAAAGGGCUAGUCACUGAGUGAAGCCAAGGAUGAAUGGUCCGAACGUACGUGAUCUCCCCCCCCCCCCUCCUUCCAGCAUACUGCCCUACAUUGAGAGACCCAACAACCAUCAAGACGGACUAACGAUUAUCCCAACGACAGUUUUAAUACACAUUAUAAUUAAGCAACAUCAUUUAAUUAAAAAAAAAGAUAAACACAUUUUUAAAUUUGUAGUGAAAAUGGGUGUCAUUAGAAAUGAAACAAAACGAUGUAUGUAAUAAUGCUCCGACGUUUUAAUGAUAACGUCUUUGAUCAUCAUAUUACUGCUGUUUAUGAUCCCAAAAAAUGUGUAGAAUACCGGUUUAGUUGUGGGAUUACAAUGUAACGAAUGUUGUUGUUCUAUGUUAUCUAUGAUAUCUCUGCUAUCUAUGCUAUCUAUGCUAUCUAUGCUAUGUAUGAUAUGUAUGCUAUCUAUGCUAUCUAUGCUAUCUCUGCUAUCUAUGCUAUGUAUGCUAUCUAUGCUAUCUAUGCUAUGUAUGCUAUGUAUGCUAUCUAUGCUAUCUCUGCUAUGUAUGCUAUGUAUGCUAUCUAUGUUAUCUAUAUUAUCUAUGCUAUCUAUGCUAUAUAUGCUAUCUAUGCUAUCUAUGCUAUCUAUGCUAUCUAUAUUAUCUAUGCUAUCUAUGCUAUCUAUGCUAUCUAUAUUAUCUAUGCUAUCUCUGCUAUCUAUGCUAUGUAUGCUAUGUAUGCUAUCUAUGCUAUCUAUGCUAUGUAUGCUAUGUAUGCUAUCUAUGCUAUCUAUGCUAUGUAUGCUAUCUAUGCUAUCUCUGCUAUGUAUGCUAUGUAUGCUAUGUAUGUUAUCUAUAUUAUAUAUGCUAUCUAUGCUAUGUAUGCUAUGUAUGCUAUCUAUGCUAUCUAUGAUAUCUAUAUUAUCUAUGCUAUCUAUGCUAUCUAUGCUAUCUAUAUUAUCUAUGCUAUCUCUGCUAUCUAUGCUAUGUAUGCUAUGUAUGCUAUCUAUGCUAUCUAUGCUAUGUAUGCUAUCUAUGCUAUCUAUGCAUAUGGGCUGUGUACUGUAUUGAAGCCUUCCAUAAAAAAAACUAUCGUUGGCUCCACUAAAAUGCUGUUUUCCACUACAUUAUUCUAUGUUAUCUAUGUUAUCUAUGCAUCCUG